rnacentral:rRNA from 1 species
CCUACGGGAGGCAGCAGUGGGGAAUCUUGGACAAUGGGGGCAACCCUGAUCCAGCGAUGCCGCGUGAGUGAAGAAGGCCUUCGGGUCGUAAAGCUCUUUAGGUUGGGAAGAAGGUUGUUAGUUUAAGAGAUAAACAAUUUGACUGUACCAACAGAAUAAGCACCGGCAAACUCUGUGCCAGCAGCCGCGGUAAUACAGAGGGUGCGAGCGUUAAUCGGAGUUACUGGGCGUAAAGGGCGCGUAGGCGGUUAUAUGAGUGUGAUGUGAAAGCCCCG